rnacentral:pre_miRNA from 1 species
UCUCAUGUGGUUUCGGGGUAGCUAAAACUCUGAGUUUUCUCAGCUUCAGAGUUUUGCUACCCCGGCUCUAUGUGGG